GUCCCUGUAGCAGAAUUGGUAUAUGCAGCGGGCUAAGGCCCCGCGCCGGACUAAGAUCCAUUGUGUGUUCGAGUCUCACCAGGGACA
rnacentral:tRNA from 1 species